rnacentral:tRNA from 1 species
CGGGGUAUAGCGCAGUUGGUAGCGUGCUACGUUCGGGACGUAGAGGUCGGGCGUUCGAGUCGCCCUACCCCGACCA